rnacentral:rRNA from 1 species
UACGUAGGUGGCAAGCGUUGUUCGGAAUUACUGGGUGUAAAGGGUUCGUAGGCGGUGUGGCAAGUUGGGAGUGAAAUCUCUGGGCUCAACCCAGAGGCUGCUUCCAAAACUGCCAUGCUUGAGUGUGGGAGAGGCGCGUGGAAUUGCAGGUGUAGCGGUGAAAUGCGUGGAUAGCUGCAGGAACACCCGUGGCGAAAGCGGCGCGCUGGACCACAACUGACGCUGAGGAACGAAAGCGAGGGGAGCAAACAGG